GUGAGCGAAAUGUACUAAAUGGAGCGCAGCCAGAUGGGAGGAAAGGUAUCGAAAUGGAGAGGGAAAUCAAAGAUAUCGCCAUCAAAGCACUUUUUAUUUAAGUUGUUGCAAAAAAAAAAAAAGAUUUACAAUUUCAAGCAGAGAAAAGAAAUAUGCGGAUACGCAGAAGCCGACUGGGCGUGGAUCGUCUGUGCUUGGAGACUAUGCAAACUGGCUGUGAGGCAGACCUAACCACAUGGAGAGGUCACCUUUCAAUUGGUGGCGUGUGGAGCGAGCUGUAGCACAACCGACCACACAGCACCAGCUUGUCCAUCGAGCACAUGGCUUCAGUUAACUGAAGAACGCAGGUGCUCUGUGGGGGAUUCCAGCUCUUAGUGCCUGUGGUCAAGGCUCAUAUCGUUCAGUUUCGCUCCCACACC